GGGGAAUAUUGCACAAUGGAGGGAACUCUGAUGCAGCGACGCCGCGUGAGUGAUGAAGGCUUUCGAGUCGUAAAACUCUGUCCUUGGGGACGAUAAUGACGGUACCCAAGGAGGAAGCCCCGGCUAACUACGUGCCAGCAGCCGCGGUAAUACGUAGGGGGCGAGCGUUGUCCGGAAUUAUUGGGCGUAAAGGGUUCGCAGGCGGCCGAUUAAGUCAGAUGUGAAAUCCCACGGCUUAACCGUGGUAAGCAUUUGAAACUGAUUGGCUUGAGUUAAGGAGAGGAAAGUGGAAUUCCUAGUGUAGCGGUGAAAUGCGUAGAUAUUAGGAGGAAUACCAGUGGCGAAGGCGACUUUCUGGACUUAUACUGACGCUGAGGAACGAAAGCGUGGGGAGCAAAC
rnacentral:rRNA from 1 species